GAUGAACGCUGGCGGCGUGCUUAACACAUGCAAGUCGAGCGGAGAUAUUUAAACGGAAGGUUUCGGCUGGAAGGUUAAAUAUCUUAGCGGCGGACGGGUGAGUAACGUGUGGGCAACCUGCCCUGUACUGUGGAAUAAUCACUGGAAACGGUGACUAAUACCGCAUGUCAUCACAAGGGGGCAUCCCCUUGUGAGAAAAGGAUUUAUUCGGUACAGGAUGGGCCCGCAUCUGAUUAGCUAGUUGGUGAGAUAACAGCCCACCAAGGCAACGAUCAGUAGCCGACCUGAGAGGGUGAUCGGCCACAUUGGGACUGAGACACGGCCCAAACUCCUACGGGAGGCAGCAGUGGGGAAUAUUGCACAAUGGGCGAAAGCCUGAUGCAGCGACGCCGCGUGAAGGAUGAAGGGUUUCGGCUCGUAAACUUCUAUCAAUAGGGACGAAAAAAAUGACGGUACCUAAAUAAGAAGCCCCGGCUAACUACGUGCCAGCAGCCGCGGUAAUACGUAGGGGGCAAGCGUUAUCCGGAAUUACUGGGUGUAAAGGGAGAGUAGGCGGCAUGGUAAGUUAGAUGUGAAAGCCCGGGGCUUAACCUCGGGAUUGCAUUUAAAACUAUCAAGCUAGAGUACAGGAGAGGUAAGUGGAAUUCCUAGUGUAGCGGUGAAAUGCGUAGAUAUUAGGAAGAACACCAGUGGCGAAGGCGACUUACUGGACUGAAACUGACGCUGAGGCUCGAAAGCGUGGGGAGCGAACAGGAUUAGAUACCCUGGUAGUCCACGCCGUAAACGAUGAGUGCUAGGUGUCGGGGGGGAACCCUCGGUGCCGCAGCUAACGCAAUAAGCACUCCACCUGGGGAGUACGAUCGCAAGAUUGA
rnacentral:rRNA from 1 species